GCGCUGGUUUAGCUCAGUGGUUACUUCUUACAACAAUGUAAUCUCUCCCUUCGCGGGAUCGAACCACGGGCGCUGUCCAGUGUUUUU
ensembl:vault_RNA Vault Vault RNA